rnacentral:rRNA from 1 species
UACGUAGGGGGCAAGCGUUGUCCGGAAUCAUUGGGCGUAAAGCGCGCGUAGGUGGCCCAGUAAGUCCGUUGUGAAAGUCAAAGGCUCAACCUUUGAAAGCCGAUGGAUACUGCUGGGCUCGAGUCCGGAAGAGGCGAGUGGAAUUCCCGGUGUAGCGGUGAAAUGCGCAGAUAUCGGGAGGAACACCAAUGGCGAAGGCAGCUCGCUGGGACGGUACUGACGCUGAGACGCGAAAGCGUGGGGAGCAAACAGG